AUGUUGUGUCUCACUGUGUUCAUCGCUCACAUACUUGGACAAGGAGACCAAAUCCUGAUCUGGAUAAUCCUCCCAAGGAGGAAGAGAAAGGUUUCGGACGUGGUGCUUCUCCCACAAUUGGGAGCCCACUCAAGUCACCUGCUCUGUCCUCGGAUGGAUCACUUCUGCCAUCCUCCUCCCCGGAGUCCCCUCCAGAGCCAAACCACUGGCUGGAACAACUGCUAUCAGCCCCUGAGCCCCCCAGCCCUGUGCCAGAGGUGGCCUGACCUGUUGGGAACCAUCUCAACAUGUCUGUGGCCCCAGACAGCCCACCAAAGGAAAGCUUAGGGGGCCAGAGACUGAUAGAUAGGGGCCCCUCUCCCUCUCGGCCCCAAAGCUCGGUGGUGGAGUGUUUGAUGGAAGACCCAACUCUUCCUUAGCAUGUCAUCUGUGAAGUGGGUCCCGUGGGGUCGCCUUCCGAUUCAGCAUUCUCUGUCCUGUCUCCUGAACCGGAGCAUCGUGGCCCAUGGGGUGAGGCCGAUGGGGAUCAAUCCCAUAAUGAUCUGACCCAAACCCUCACCCCACCCACAAAUGUUUUCAGGGAUGAGGUAUUGCCCAAGGCAAAAGAGGAACAGGCCAACGAUGGGGAUGAAGACAAUCAACGUCUCCUCCUGGCGGAGAUGCCCAUGGCUGCCCCACCCAACCUGGAGACAUAUGCAUGGGAACAGUGAGAAGAUCACAGCUGUCAUCACCCUCACUGGCACCCCCUCCUGUGCCCAAACCCUGGGGGGAGAAAUUGUUGGUGAUCCCUGAGCCCCCGAGCCCUGCGGUGGAGAUGCCACAGAAGGCAGCAAAGUGGGAUGCUCAGAGGGAGAUGUGUCUCUGCUGGUGGACCUGAAUGAAUUACAUCAAAAGUCUGAAUUUGUAGCCGAAGCUAGCUGGGAUGCUUGUGGAGGUGCUUCUGAGGCUUUCUCACCUUCUCCAGAAGAACCUCCUAAAUCAGAGGAUCAUGGCCUGGGGGCUCAGGCCAAUGGGGAUAUGCGCUUCCAGGACCAGCUGGCCUCGCUGUGAGUAUAUGAAAACGAGGGAGUAAACCAGAGCAGAAGGGGAGGGCCUUUUUCCUACUCUUAUGCUACACUUGGCUUUGAAUUGUUGUCUUGCCAUUCAAUCUUUAUUUCAAAUGGUGCUGGUUGUUGCCCUGAUUGCAUCCUGUUUUAAAAACAAAACACAACACUUUUUUGCUCAUUUGACUGUUUUGUUCAGUUUGUCAAAAUGCCACUCCUCCACAGACAGAGAAGUGGGAGGAAUCUUAGCCACGCAAACUGAAAUCAGGACGAAGCCCAAAAGAGGUGGGAAUAGUGGAAAAUUCAGUCAUUCGUAAGGAUCAUUAUUUUGUUUCUUUUGCCUUUCUUCCAAUUUCUGUCUCCCAAUGGCACAGAGGGGCUCAAGAUGGGAGCUUCAGCAGCGGCAAGAGCAGCUCCUCCAGAAAUCACCCCAUCAGAAGAACAAGUUGGUGGAAGAUCUGGACCUUGAAGUGACGCAGUGAGUAUUCCUGUUCCCGGUUGACGGAUAAAAGAGGGAGCCAACUAGUGGUGGGUGGUUUAUGGCCAAGAGGGAAAACCCCUGUUUCCUGUCCCAUCUCCCAAGAUCUGGGGUUUGAGAUCAGCGGUUUUUCCAGUUUAUGGACACGCUCUCUGCCAUCUGAGACAGUAACCCUGAGCUUAGGUGGACCCAUGGUGCCUUUGGUGUAAGGCAGUGUCUUCUACUCCCAUUCAAAUGGCCUUUUAUUGAGCAUACUGAGGACUAGAAUCUCCAGUUUGUUCCACUUGCGGGGCAGUGUGGUGCUAUCUAUUUCCCAGCCAUCAUAUGGCACACAAGGAAAUGCGCUCCAGCCUGACCCAGAUUCGUGGCCAAACUAAAUCCUUUUGGUCCGAUUAUUGGGCUAUUACUUUUGGGGUGUUUUGGGCCAAAAUAGUUGGAAGGAUCACUUUAAGGGAGAUGGCUUUGGUAAAUGCAUAAAGUGGUUAACUCUGCUUUGUUUUGGGUUUUUUUUUUUUUGGGGGUCUCCAAUCUUUAAUGCUCCCUCUCAUCUUUCUUUCCUUCCUCUUUUCCUCAUCCCCUGUUUCUUCUGAAUUACUCCUGAAUCUGACAGGGCUGCAGAGGUGGGUGCCUGUCCUGGAAUAAGGCUGCUACUAAGGAGGUGGAAACACAGGAAGAAAAACAGGUGUUCCAUCUGUUGAGAGGGUCCGAGCUGGCCCAGAGGGACUCUUAGAGAAGAUCAAGUCCAUCCCUGUUCAGUAGAAGAUCUGGCGUGAAUCCACUUUCACCCAACAGUGUCAUCCUCGUCUAAGCAGCCAUUCAGUUGUUUCUGCUUUCUCCACCCCCUUUCCUUCCCACCCCCUCCAGGGUCCUCUCCACCCCCUUUCCUUUCCAUGCCUAAAUGUGUUGGUGUGUGAUUUAGAACAAUUUACACAUCUGUAAAUGGGUAUUUACUAAGUAACACACUUCUACUAUGGAAUAACGAUCCGGGGUAACACUCACUGCCUCGUCAUGAAGAACAUUUUCUCUUGAUUUGAGGCUGGUCCUAACAUUAGGGAGAGCACAGAGCAACAGGAAAAGACAGCAAAGUUACCACCAUCCUACAUUGCUAUGGUGUUUUUACUGGCAGGUGCCUCGGGAAUAUUUUGCUUUAUGGGUCCAAAUCACCGUUGGUGCCGAAUGACCUUACCUUCACUAGGGCAACCAGACUCUGAAGUUUGGGGCUGUGCCUCAGGCAGCGAAAAGUUACAGGACACUCCCUGGUUGCGCAUGUGCCCAGACUAAAGUAUGCUACAGGGCAGUUUGAGUCUUUUCAUAUAAUCUCGUGUUGUCGAAAGAAGAUUUGGUGUUUCUCAGUUUGCACGCAAGUCCCUCAGCUCCUGCAGCUCUUUAGCUCGGCAAGGGAAAAGACCAAACUUGGGAAGUUCCUUUUAAAAACUCCAGCUACCUCAACAGUGGGUGAAAGUUCAUUAUGUUGAAAAACAAACUUAUUAUGUGUUUUGAGGCCUGUUAUUUUGUUGUUGUUGUUGUUACUGUGCUUUUUCCUUCCUAAAAAAAAAAACCAAUAAAAUGUAGUUCAAUCCUUCUUGUUGCA
ensembl:lncRNA